AGAAAUUUAGGUUAUUUUAAACCGGGGACCUUCAAAGUCCCAAAUAGGAACCCCUAAUUUCCG
rnacentral:tRNA from 1 species